AGGGUUUGAUCAUGGCUCAGGAUGAACGCUGGCGGCAUGUCUAAGGCAUGCAAGUCGAACGGAUCUAUUUGAGAUCAUAUCAAUUGUAGAUUAGUGGCAGACGGGAGCGUAACACACUGAUAACCUACCCUGGAGCCGCGAAUAAUUCGCCGAAAGGUGGACUAAUACGCGAUACGGAUGCGGGGGCAUAAGCCAUUCGCAUUGAAAGCUUCGGCACUCCAGGAGGGGUCUAUGUCCUAUCAGCUUGUUGGCGAGGUAAUGGCUCACCAAGGCUAUGACGGGUACCAGGCGUGAGAGCGUGACCUGGCUCACUGGGACUGAGACACUGCCCAGACACCUACGGGUGGCUGCAGUCAAGAAUAUUCCACAAUGGGCGAAAGCCUGAUGGAGCAAUGCCGCGUGCCGGAAGAAGGCCUUCGGGUCGUAAACGGCUUUUUAUAGGGAAGAACAAAUGACGGUACCUAUAGAAUAAGAGGUUGCUAACUCUGUGCCAGCAGCAGCGGUAAUACAGAGACCUCAAGCGUUAUCCGGAUUUAUUGGGCGUAAAGGGUCCGCAGGUUGCAACGUAAGUCAUGUGUUAAAUUAUCGGGCUCAACCCGGAAACUGCACGUGAUACUGCGUAGCUAGAGGCUGGGAGAGGUGCAUGGAAUUGCUAGUGUAGCGGUAAAAUGCGUUAAUAUUAGCAAGAACACCAAAGGCGAAGGCAAUGCACUGGAACAGUCCUGACACUCAGGGACGAAAGCGUGGGGAGCGAAAGGGAUUAGAUACCCCUGUAGUCCACGCCCUAAACGAUGAAUGCUAGAUAUUGGGAGUAUCGACCCUCUCAGUGUCGUUGAACCAAGUUAACACGUUAAGCAUUCCGCCUGGGAAGUACGACCGCAAGGUUAAAACUCAAAGGAAUAGACGGGACCCGCACAAGCGGUG
rnacentral:rRNA from 1 species